rnacentral:tRNA from 1 species
GCAGUGGUGGUUCAGUGGUAGAAUUCUUGCCUUUCAUGUGGGAGACCCGGUUUCGAUUCCCAGCCAAUGCA